rnacentral:rRNA from 1 species
CCUACGGGUGGCAGCAGUGGGGAAUAUUGCACAAUGGGGGAAACCCUGAUGCAGCAACGCCGCGUGGAGGAAGAAGGUUUUCGGAUUGUAAACUCCUGUUCUUAGAGAAGAAAAUGACGGUAUCUAAAGAAUAAGCACCGGCUAACUCCGUGCCAGCAGCCGCGGUAAUACGGAGGGUGCAAGCGUUACUCGGAAUGACUGGGCGUAAAGGGAGCGGAGGCGGGAUAGCAAGUCAGAUGUGAAAUCCUAUGGCUUAACCAUAGGACUGCAUUUGAAACUGUUUUUCUGGAGUGAAGGAGGGGUAGGCGGAAUUCCUGGUGUAGGGGUGAAAUGCGUAGAUAUCAGGAGGAAUACCGGUGGCGAAGGCGGCCUGCUGGAAUUUAACUGACGCUGAGGCGCGAAAGCGUGGGGAGCAAACAGGAUUAGAUACCCUAGUAGUC